GCACAAGCGGUGGAGCAUGUGGUUUAAUUCGACGCAACGCGAAGAACCUUACCUGGGCUCGAAAUGGAGUGGACCGGAGUAGAAAUAUUCCUUCCCCGCAAGGGGCCGCUCUAUAGGUGCUGCAUGGCUGUCGUCAGCUCGUGUCGUGAGAUGUUGGGUUAAGUCCCGCAACAAGCGCAACCCUUAUUACCAGUUGCCACCAUUUAGUUGGGCACUCUGGUGAGACCGCCUCGGAUAACGGGGAGGAAGGCGGGGAUGACGUCAAGUCCUCAUGGCCUUUAUGUCCAGGGCUACACACGUGCUACAAUGGCCGGUACAAACCGUCGCAAACCCGUGAGGGGGAGCUAAUCGGAAAAAGCCGGCCUCAGUUCGGAUUACAGUCUGCAACUCGACUGUAUGAAGCUGGAAUCGCUAGUAAUCGCGGAUCAGAAUGCCGCGGUGAAUACGUUCCCGGGC
rnacentral:rRNA from 1 species